rnacentral:rRNA from 1 species
UGGGGAAUUUUGGACAAUGGGCGAAAGCCUGAUCCAGCAAUGCCGCGUGUGUGAAGAAGGCCUUCGGGUUGUAAAGCACUUUUGUCCGGAAAGAAAUCCUUGGCUCUAAUACAGUCGGGGGAUGACGGUACCGGAAGAAUAAGCACCGGCUAACUACGUGCCAGCAGCCGCGGUAAUACGUAGGGUGCAAGCGUUAAUCGGAAUUACUGGGCGUAAAGCGUGCGCAGGCGGUUUGCUAGACCGAUGUGAAAUCCCCGGGCUCAACCUGGGAACUGCAUUGGUGACUGGCAGGCUAGAGUAUGGCAGAGGGGGGUAGAAUUCCACGUGUAGCAGUGAAAUGCGUAGAGAUGUGGAGGAAUACCGAUGGCGAAGGCAGCCCCCUGGGCCAAUACUGACGCUCAUGCACGAAAGCGUGGGGAGCAAACAGGAUUCAGAUACCCUGGUAGUCCACGCCCUAAACGAUGUCAACUAGUUGUUGGGGAUUCAUUUCCUUAGUAACGUAGCUAACGCGUGAAGUUGACCGCCUGGGGAGUACGGUCGCAAGAUUAAAACUUAAAUGAAUUGACGGGGUCAUAGCUGUUUCC